rnacentral:rRNA from 1 species
CAAUAGCGUAUAUUAAAGUUGUUGCGGUUAAAAGCUCGUAGUUGGAUUUCUGUCGAAGACGGUCGGUCCGCUCUAUGAGCGAGUAUCUGAUUCGGCUUUGGCAUCCUCUUGGGGAUCGUUGCUGUGCUUAGUUGCAUGGUGCGGAAUUCAAGACGUUUACUUUGAGGAAAUUAGAGUGGUUACGGCAAGCUAUCGCUUUGAAUACAUUAGCAUGGAAUAAUAAUAUAGGGCGUAAGUUCUAUCUUGUUGGUUUCUAGAACAUACGCAAUGAUUAAUAGGGACAAUUGGGGGCAUUCGUAUUAACGCGUCAGAGGUGGAAUUCUUAGAUUGCGUUACGACGAACUACUGCGAAAGCAUUUGCCAAGGAUGUUUUCAUUGAUCAAGAACGAAAGUAUGGGGAUCGAAGACGAUCAGAUACCGU